GCCCCUGUGACGCAAUUGGCAGACGUAACCCGCUUAAACCGGGUCAGUUGCAGGUUCGACUCCUGUCAGGGGCA
rnacentral:tRNA from 1 species